GGGGAAUAUUGGGCAAUGGGCGCAAGCCUGACCCAGCAACGCCGCGUGAGGGAAGAAGGUCUUCGGAUUGUAAACCUCUGUCCUUGGGGACGAAAAAAAUGACGGUACCCAAGGAGGAAGCUCCGGCUAACUACGUGCCAGCAGCCGCGGUAAUACGUAGGGGGCGAGCGUUGUCCGGAUUUACUGGGCGUAAAGGGUGCGUAGGCGGCCUUGUAAGUCAGAUGUGAAAGGCUACGGCUCAACCGUAGUAAGCAUUUGAAACUGCAGGGCUUGAGUGCAGGAGAGGAGAGUGGAAUUCCUAGUGUAGCGGUGAAAUGCGUAGAUAUUAGGAGGAACACCAGUGGCGAAGGCGACUCUCUGGACUGUAACUGACGCUGAGGCACGAAAGCGUGGGGAGCAAACA
rnacentral:rRNA from 2 species